rfam:Aedes albopictus isolate Foshan contig102142, whole genome shotgun sequence.
UGCCCAGCAACUCCUAUCCCUACCUCCACGCGGUACCGGCCGGAAACUAUGAGCAACCUUAGGGAAGAUCGGGUAAUCAACCCCGGUGGGAACUUUGGUCGUAGGCUGACAGGGAAGG